AGAGUUUGAUCCUGACUCAGAACGAACGCUGGCGGCGUGCCUAACACAUGCAAGUCCAACGUGAAAGGGGAGCAAUCCCCCGGUAGGGUGGCAAACGGGUGAGUAAUACAUGGGUGAUCUACCUUAGGGAUGGGGAUAUCCUUCCGAAAGGAGGGGCAAUACCGAAUAUUGUCCGGAGCCGUGAAGGGUUCCGGGGAAAGGGAGGCCUCUGAUACAAGCUUUCGCCUUAAGAUGAGCCCAUGGCCCAUCAGCUAGUUGGUAGGGUAAAGGCCUACCAAGGCUACGACGGGUCGCUGGUCUGAGAGGACGACCAGCCACACUGGCACUGAGAUACGGGCCAGACUCCUACGGGAGGCAGCAGUGAGGAAUAUUGCGCAAUGGGGGAAACCCUGACGCAGCAACGCCGCGUGUGGGAAGAAGGCCUUCGGGUCGUAAACCACUUUUGCACGGGACGAAAAAGGGAUAUCGAACAAAUAUCCCCGAUGACGGUACCGUGAGAAUAAGCCACGGCUAACUCUGUGCCAGCAGCCGCGGUAAGACAGAGGUGGCAAGCGUUGUUCGGAAUUACUGGGCGUAAAGAGUCUGUAGGUGGUUUGUCAAGUCUUUGGUGAAAGGCCGUAGCUUAACUAUGGGAAUGCCAAAGAGACUGGCAGGCUGGAGGCUGGGAGAGGGAAGCGGAAUUUCUGGUGUAGCGGUGAAAUGCGUAGAUAUCAGAAGGAAGGCCGGUGGCGAAGGCGGCUUCCU
rnacentral:rRNA from 1 species